rnacentral:rRNA from 1 species
UACGGAGGGUGCAGGCGUUAUCCGGAUUCACUGGGUUUAAAGGGUGCGUAGGUGGGUUGGUAAGUCAGUGGUGAAAUCUCCGAGCUUAACUCGGAAACUGCCAUUGAUACUAUCAAUCUUGAAUCAUCUGGAGGUAAGCGGAAUAUGUCAUGUAGCGGUGAAAUGCUUAGAUAUGACAUAGAACACCAAUUGCGAAGGCAGCUUACUACGGGUGUAUUGACGCUGAGGUGCGAAAGCGUGGGGAGCAAACAGG